rnacentral:rRNA from 1 species
CUACCCGCUGACNAGCGGCGGACGGGUGAGUAAUGCAUAGGAAUCUGCCCGGUAGUGGGGGAUAACCUGGGGAAACCCAGGCUAAUACCGCAUACGUCCUACGGGAGAAAGGGGGCUCCGGCUCCCGCUAUUGGAUGAGCCUAUGUCGGAUUAGCUAGUUGGUGAGGUAAUGGCUCACCAAGGCGACGAUCCGUAGCUGGUCUGAGAGGAUGAUCAGCCACAUCGGGACUGAGACACGGCCCGAACUCCUACGGGAGGCAGCAGUGGGGAAUAUUGGACAAUGGGCGAAAGCCUGAUCCAGCCAUGCCGCGUGUGUGAAGAAGGCCCUCGGGUUGUAAAGCACUUUCAGUGAGGAAGAACGCCUAGUGGUUAAUACCCAUCAGGAAAGACAUCACUCGCAGAAGAAGCACCGGCUAACUCCGUGCCAGCAGCCGCGGUAAUACGGAGGGUGCAAGCGUUAAUCGGAAUUACUGGGCGUAAAGCGCGCGUAGGUGGCUUGAUAAGCCGGUUGUGAAAGCCCCGGGCUCAACCUGGGAACGGCAUCCGGAACUGUCAAGCUAGAGUGCAGGAGAGGAAGGUAGAAUUCCCGGUGUAGCGGUGAAAUGCGUAGAGAUCGGGAGGAAUACCAGUGGCGAAGGCGGCCUUCUGGACUGACACUGACACUGAGGUGCGAAAGCGUGGGUAGCAAACAGGAUUAGAUACCCUGGUAGUCCACGCCGUAAACGAUGUCGACCAGCCGUUGGGUGCCUAGCGCACUUUGUGGCGAAGUUAACGCGAUAAGUCGACCGCCUGGGGAGUACGGCCGCAAGGUUAAUACUCAAAUGAAUUGACGGGGGCGCGCACAAGCGGUGGAGCAUGUGGUUUAAAUCGAUGCAACGCGAAGAACCUUACCUACUCUUGACA